rnacentral:lncRNA from 1 species
UUCCAAGAUAAGCAGUAAUUCAGAAACUGAAUACCAGUUCAAAAUCCAAUUUGUAACUCUGAGAACAAAGAGCAGUACUUUGCAAUUUUUCUUAUUUCCUUCCUUUCAGAGGAAAGCUCUCUGCUUUUGAAGAUAUGCUGGUCCAGAUGUGCAGUCUGUUGACCUAUCUGGAUGCUUUUUAUGAAUUAAUAGAUAAAGCACUGUCAACUGCCUGUCAAUCUUCAUAUUUACAAAAAAAGAAAAAACACAAACCAUUCCACUAUGCUGGCUGUGACAGCACUGUAAUGUCAGAGGACCGAGAGACAGUUUUAAUAUGUAUGAAAGAGUCUUUCACUUCCAGAAAUAAGCAUAAACAGAAAGCCAAACAUCCUACAGAUAGGCAAAAUCAUCUGAAGGAUUUUAUUAUGUGCUCUUCAUAUAACAGUGGCCUCUGA